GGAGUUUGCAGCUGCUGCUGAAUUUAGGAGUAGCCACCCUGAAAAAUUCCCCUGGGGGCCCUGGUCUUGGACCCAACAGCUGGUGGGGAGGCACCCACCUGCCCCAUGUGACCCCCAGCUAAUUAUUCUCUGAGAGACACUGGCUGUAAAAUGGUUGGUCAGAAGCCUGCCCUGAUCCCCUCGAAGGCCUCUUCCCACCCCAUGGGAGAGACCAGCAUGGCAGCCCUGGAGCACAAGGCCAUGCGCUGGGGGUGGGCCUGGGCUCUGGGGCAGGGUCUGCCAUGGUCAAGUGUGGCUCGGUGUCAACUGGGAAAGCAGAAGUCUGCAGCCAAGCUGGGGCCCUCCCUUCCCUCUUCUCCCUGCAGCACGGGGCGGGACGGGGUGAGGGCAGGGAGAAUGGCAGACAGGCCGACCUCGGGCUGUGGGUAUCUAGCCUGAAGCCUCCUGGCUGGGCAUGGCUGCAGCUAAGAAGACCCCACAGGGGAGGCUUUGUGACCAUCUCCAUCCCGACCCUACCCGCUCCUCCAGGAAGCCCUCCUGAGUCACCCUUGCGAGUCUGAGCUCCUACCUCUUUGGAUCCUGCCUGUCGUCCACACCUGACUGCCACACCCUCUAGGUUUUUGGGAACACAAAUCUUGUCUCUUGGGCUCGUGGUGGCUAUGCCUCCCUCCUGCUGGCUCUGUGGCCCUCAUCACUGGAGGCCUCGCCCCUUGGGGCUCUGCCAUGUAUGUGCCGUGGGCCUAGUGGGGGUCUCACAGCACUUCACCGGCCCUGGUAGUCAUGUGGGAGCAGCCCCUGCACACCUGGGCCAUCACCCAUGGAGGACAUUUCCCAGACAUGGGGAGAUGUUAACCUCUAGCCCUCUGGGACCAAAAUUGAGCCUGAGUCUGAAGAUGUGGCCUAACUCUGGCCCUUGGGAUGGGGAGGUCUGACACCGCCUACCUCUCUGCCCCUCCCAUGCGGCCUCCACAUGGCCGUGGGUUCCUCCGAAGGGGCUCUACCACCUGCUCCCUAGUAUGGAACACCCUGGGGUCCCAUCUCCAAGAGACUUUCUGGGUGACAGAUGGGACACUGAGGCUCAGAAAGGGGAGGAUGUUGGCUGAGGGUCACGCGGCGGGUGGAGUAGAGUCCACACUGAAACCCAGUACCCUGGUUAUCAGCCAGGAUGAGCCCUGUUUUUGGUAUUUGCACUGAGAAGCGUGUACAUGAGAAGGAACCUUCCGGAGGAGAGUUCAGUUAAAGCUGAUGAUGUCCUCGCUCAGCUGGCCUUUCCGCUGUUGGGGCUUAUUCUUCCAGAAUGUUCCAGCACAGCCCCUCCCAUGACACCCUUGGCUCCCACACUCCAAUGUGCACUUCUGCCAAUGCCUGUCCAUCACGUGCAGGUGCUGGGCCUUCCUUCCUGGAGGCUGCCCACGGAGCUGCUGUUCUUUCUAAUGGUGCUUAUGGACCCUGCUGGACUCUGCCUUGUUGGGCAUUCUCUUGUUUUCUCUGUGGGGCUCUCACCAGCCAGUGCCGUCAUGGACCCUCCUGUCCAUCUGGAGGUGCCCUCCCGGAUGGAGUUCAGAGGUGACAUCACUGGGUCCACUUCACAUUCUAAAAUUCGAUGGGACCUUGGUGGGGCUUUGGUUCUCUGAAGAGGAAGUGUGAGGGGUGCCCUGGGGCCAUUGGGAGCCUUCACCCAGCAGGAGUCAUCUAUGUGGGGAGCUGGGCUGGGGUCUCUGCCUCCUUCCAGAAGGUGUCAGGCACCCCCUGGCCCUCCUGGGAGAAGCUGAGAUAAUAGGUGACCAGGCCAUGAGGGGUGGCCACAGGAGAUGGGACCACAGGCUCUGGAGCUCCUCAGCUGGACAGAACAGCCCCCUGAGCUCAGAGAAGGCCUGUCCUGCUUGAUAGAGGACUGGUCAGCCUUGUCCUGGAUGGAUGUGACUCUCAGCAGGCAGAUGACCUUUAUGAGACAGUCUGCCCACAUUUCAUUGCCUGUCCCUCUCCCUGUGGAGAGGAGGGGUGCUGUGGGCUGGGCAGGGUGGUAAGGAAUGGCUGUGGUCCCGAGGCUGGGGGCCUUCUCCCCCUCCCUUGGCUGGCACUGUUUCCUGACCUGGCUGCCCUGAGCCUCUCUUGAGGGCUGUGGACCUGCCAUGUCACCCUUUGUGUGACCAUUCUGUCACAGGGCUCUGGGAGUGCCUGAGAGGACAGCAAGACCCCUCUCUGACUCCCAGAGCCCCACAUUGGGAAGGGGGCACCUGCCAUGUGCCCAUGGGGGGCUGAAUGGGCAAAGAUGUUGAGUGAAAGUUACCACACACAUGAGGUUUGGGUCCUGGGUGCAAAUCUUCCACCUUCUUUCUUUAGGCCAAGAAGCCUUUGCAGCAUCUGCCUUAGUUCUCUGUUGCUUUGUAACAAAUCACCACAAAACUGAGUGGCUUAAAACAGCAGUAAUCAUUCAUCAUCAUUCACAGUUUCUGUGGGUCAGGACUUUGGAAACAGCUUAGUCAAUGGGUGGUUCUGCCUUGGGGUUUCCCAUGAGGCUGCAGCCAGACGUUGGCCAGAGCUGCAUCAUCUGAAUGUCUGGCCAGGGCUGGAGGAGCUGCUUCCAAGCUGGUGCACCACAAGGCUGGCACAAUGCUUCCCUCCACGGUGCUGCUUGAGCAUCCUCUCAACAUGGCACUGGCUUCACCCAGUGCAAGCGAUCCAGCAGGCCAAGGCAGAAGCUGCCCUGCCUUUAGGAGCAAGACUCGAGAGUCAUGCAUUGUUACAUCCACAGUGUUCUGGUGGUCACCUGACCCCUCGGAUUGCCAGCUCCAGCAGUGGCCUGUCUCUAAGACGGCUCUUGCAGCACUGCCCUAUGGCCCAUUUUCUCACAUGCCUGGCUCCUCUCAACAGAUUCCCUUGGCUCUGGUUUGCAGGAGUUUGACGUGUCAGUUACAGAGCGCUUGGUGCCUUUUCUUUUCUGCCUGAAGACAGAGAACAGCUUGAAGAGCAAAGGUGACAAUCGUGCCAGAAGAAGGAAAAAAUAAUACUUUAUAACGAGUCAGCAAUGAAAGCCCAGGCGGGCAGGAGGUUUGCACUGAGGAUGAAACAGGCUGCUGGUGUGGGGCCUGGGGGCCCAGAGGCCUGAGUCCAUGGGUGAGUUGCUGGGCCCUGCCUACACUCCGGGAGAUUCCACAUCCAUGUGCGUUGCAGGUCGAGAGUCUGUCCCCAGCAUCUCCACAGUAAUAGUUUUCAUUCCCUGUCGCUCAAUGCCCCCCCUUUUUUGUUGAGAUGGAGUUUUGCUCUUGUUGCCCAGGCUGGAGUGCAAUGGUUCGAUCUCGGCUCACUGCAACCUCCGCCCUUCUGAGUUCAAGCAAUUCUCCUGUCUCAGCCUCCCAAGUGGCUGGAAUCAAAGCUCCUUUUAAUGCAAAAAGAAUAAAAAGUUUAUAAAGGAGGAAGGAAGAUGCCCACUUUAGAUCUGUUUGGUCCCUGACCUUGGCUUAAGAGGGCACUGGUGCUCGGAGGUCUCUGCUGGCUGGGAAGAAGUGGGGUUGGGGGGCUGCCUCUGCCCUGCCCACUCCUGUCUGUGCCCUGGUCACCUCCUGCCUCUGCCCUGCCCACUCCUGCCUGUGCCCCGUCCACCUUCCUGUGUGGCCGUUCCUGCCCCCAAAGCCUGCAGCUGCUGCCCUGCCCCUGGUCUGCCCACUUCUUCCCAGGCUCCCUCUGAGAUCUGCCCUUCACUCCACAGCAGGAUGCCAGUUGGACCCAGUCACUCCUUCACAGCAAACCCUCCAGGUGAAGCCCACAUUCCCGCCCUGGGCCAGCUGGGCACUCUUCCGUUCCCCAGCACCUGCCACAGCAGGGCUGCCUCCCCUUUGCAUGUUUUGUCCCCAGAGUUUCUAACUCAAACCUUCCCUAACUCCCUUCCACCUGGUGCUGUCUUCCUCAUCCCUCGGCACAGGGCUGAGACCCCAGAAACCCUGGCUGGGUUGUGGGCCCUUCCUUUGCUCGCCCCCCCCACCCCGAUCCCCGACCCCUUGGAGCUGCAAUGCAGGUGUCUGCUUUCCUCACUGGUCUGUGACCUCCCUGAGGCCCCAGCCUCUCUGCUGUGUUCCCAGGGCUUGGCCCAGCGUAGAUGUCCAGUGGGUGUCAGGGUGGAUGCUGUGGCAGCAGCUCAGAUGCAUGUUUGGAUGUUGCAAUAGUGGUGUUGGGGCCGGUGGAUGAGGAACCACCGUGGACAUGCAAGCUGACAGCCCAUGGCCACAGGAAAUACACGAAAUACACAAGGCCCAUUUCCUUAGCUGUGGUCUCAAUUCCAGAGUCAACACCAAUAGGUGGACUUCUUCUUGUGCCUUCAGGCAGCCAGGCUGGGACCCAGAUGGCCAGUGAGUUUUGGGUUAGCAGCCUCGGCUCCUGGAGACGCUGCUGUGGGCAGAGCUCCUGUUCUGUGCUGGAAAUUUGAGUCCUUGUGGUGGAGAAAGGGAGGGAGACAGAGGAUGGCUCAUGGUGAUCUGUGCCUCUCUUGGCCAGGGGGACGUCAGGGCUGGUGAGCAUAUGGGGUGGGAGGUGAGGCAUCGUGAGGUCCUGGUCAUGUCUCUCACUUGUGAGGACUUGACACUCACCAGGGCUGGCUCUUGUGGAUGACAUCGGUGUCAUAAGCUCCAAUGCGACAUCAAGGGGUGUCCUGGAGAGGAAGGGAGGCCCACUGGCCUCUUGAGGGCAGAGCAGACAGCCUCUGGCUCUCUGGGAGGCCCAUGGUAUCAUGCCUCAGCUCUCCCAUGCGCCUCUGCCCUGCUCACUCAGCUGGCCUCCCUCAUUAGUGCCCGCUCUGCGCCACAUGAGCCACUGACCCAUGUCCCUUGCUUUCGUUCCAAUGGGCCUGCUGGCCUUGGCUCACAUGUCCACCCAAGUCUGCACUUGGGAGAUGGGGUCCUUGGUGCGGGACCCCUGAAGGGUGCCGAUGACCUGGGCCCUACAGAAGUGCCCGGUUCGGGGAGGCAGGAAGCAGAGCUCUGGGGUGGCUUUUGAUUUUCUGUUUCUCCCAGCCCAUCCCAGGGACCCCUCCACCCUGUGACACCCACCUGCGUGUAGGCGCAUGACCUGAGAGCCCAGAGGGGACCCAUGAGAGGGGAGGGAGGAAGGUGGGCAGACUCCAAUUCCAGCAGCCUGGAGUCACACUGGGACAAGUGGACACUCCACGGUGCAUCUGUAGAGGAGGACCGUGUCACUGAGCAGCUCCUAGGCAGCUCAGCCAUUCUGGAGGCCCCUGGGGCUCUAUCCUAUCAGCACCAAGCAACUGUGCUCCCAAACUCUGGGGCAUACAGCCUAGGGAAGACGGGGCUUUGGGUGGCCUGAUGGUGCCUCCUGAGGGACUCUGAGCAGGUCUGAAUCUUUCCAAGCCUUUGUUUCUCAAGGUACAGAGUAGAGAUGCUCGCCUACAAGACGGAAGGUCUGGGGGAGGGGGAGGGAUUUCAGAACAUGCGGCAGGGCAUAACAUUAUUCUGUGCGGAAAGCAUUUGCAUUUCAGAAACCCCUUAUCUGUCUAAAAGCAGAGCCUCCCAAAAUAACUCGAAAGAACUCGUGUCAUCCAUCCCUCCCUGGAGCAACCAGGGAAGACAGACUCUUAUCACAAUCACAGUGAUGAGAAACCUCCGUUGCACACGAAGACAGGUGGUCCCGGAGCCGCGCUGCCAUCUGUCCACUUCAGGGCCCCUUCACCUUUCCAGAAAGCCGUUUGUUUUCCCGUGCAUGCCCUUCUCCCCCUCCCCUGAUUUUCAUGUACCCCUAAGAGGGUUUGUAAGCCCUGGAUUCUAACACUCCUCUGAAUCCCACUUUUCCGUGGGAGCAUGUA